AAUGAACGCUGGCGGCGUGCCUAACACAUGCAAGUCGAACGAGAAAUCUCCCGCUUGCGGGAGAGAGUAAAGUGGCGCACGGGUGAGUAACGCGUGGAUAACCUGCCCUUGAAUCUGGGAUAACCCCGUGAAAACGGGGCUAAUACCGGAUAUUGUCCUGGGAACUGUGGUUUUCAGGAUGAAAGGUGACCUAUUCAUGAAAGUUGCCGUUUAGGGAGGGGUCCGCGUACCAUUAGCUUGUUGGUGGGGUAAUGGCCUACCAAGGCGACGAUGGUUAGCUGGUCUGAGAGGAUGAUCAGCCACACUGGAACUGAAACACGGUCCAGACUCCUACGGGAGGCAGCAGUGAGGAAUUUUGCGCAAUGGGGGAAACCCUGACGCAGCAACGCCGCGUGAGUGAAGAAGGCUUUCGGGUCGUAAAGCUCUGUCAAGUGGGAAAAAAUCCUACCGAUUAAUAACCGGGAGGACUGAUGGUACC
rnacentral:rRNA from 1 species